rfam:Picea glauca, whole genome shotgun sequence.
UUUUGUGUACAUGCCUACAACAUAACGUUAAUGCAUCAGAUCCCAUUAGAACUCCGCAGUUAAGCAUGCUUGGGCUAGAGUAGUACUGGGAUGGGUGACCACCCAGGAAGUCCUAGUAUUUUACAUGCC